rnacentral:rRNA from 1 species
UACAGAGGGUGCGAGCGUUGUUCGGAAUUAUUGGGCGUAAAGGGCGCGUAGGCGGUGCCACAAGUCACUUGUGAAAUCUCCGGGCUUAACUCGGAGCCUGCAGGCGAAACUGUGGUGCUGGAGUGUGGGAGAGGUGCGUGGAAUUCCCGGUGUAGCGGUGAAAUGCGUAGAUAUUGGGAGGAACACCAGUGGCGAAGGCGGCUCACUGGACCGGAACUGACGCUGAGGCGCGAAAGCGUGGGGAGCAAACAGG